rnacentral:rRNA from 1 species
AUUGAACGCUGGCGGCAGGCCUAACACAUGCAAGUCGAACGAGUGGCGGACGUGUGAGUAAUGUCUGGGACACUGCCUGAUGGAUGGGGAUAACUACUGGAAACGGUAGCUAAUCCCGCAUACCAUCGGAUGUGCCCAGGUUGGAUUAGCUAGUAGGUGGGGUAAAGGCUAACCUAGGCGACGAUCCCUAGCUGGUCUGAGAGGAUGACCAGCCACACUGGAACUGAGACACGGUCCAGACUCCUACGGGAGGCAGCAGUGGGGAAUAUUGCACAAUGGGCGAAAGCCUGAUGCAGCCAUGCCGCGUGUAUGAAGAAGGCCUUCGGGUUGUAAAGCACUUUCAGCGGGGAGGCGUUACCCGCAGAAGAAGCACCGGCUAACUCCGUGCCAGCAGCCGCGGUAAUUC